rnacentral:rRNA from 1 species
UGGGGAAUAUUACACAAUGGGCGCAAGCCUGAUGCAGCCAUGCCGCGUGUAUGAAGAAGUCCUUCGGGUUGUAAAGUACUUUCAGCGGGGAGGAAGGGAGUAAAGUUAAUACCUUUGCUCAUUGACGUUACCCGCAGAAGAAGCACCGGCUAACUCCGUGCCAGCAGCCGCGGUAAUACGGGGGGUGCAAGCGUUAAUAGGAAUUACUGGGCGUAAAGCGCACGCAGGCGGUUGAUUGAGUCAGAUGUGAAAUCCCCGGGCUUAACCCGGGAAUUGCAUCUGAUACUGGUCAGCUAGAGUCUUGUAGAGGGGGGUAGAAUUCCAUGUGUAGCGGUGAAAUGCGUAGAGAUGUGGAAGAAUACCGGUGGCGAAGGCGGCCCCCUGGACAAAGAAUGACGCUCAGGUGCGAAAGCGUGGGGAGCAAACAGG